AAUCAUGUAUUGAGAAAAAAAAUUGCAACAAUAUGAUUGGAUUCAUUCCAUGAUUCAUAGUAUUUAAGUCUUUGAUGAUU
rfam:Glycine soja cultivar W05 scaffold5109_2, whole genome shotgun sequence.